UCGUGACCGCUAGGUGUCGCGCGCUCGAGCCGUGAGAAGCAACGGGCCGAGAGAGGGGCAGUCUUGUUUCAGCUUGAGUUUGUAGAAGGAGCUCGUUCUGUCUCGUCGAAUCCAUUGAGUUAAUUAUCCAAUUAACUACCCAGACUAGUAAUCUAACAUGGCGCAGUUGGUUAAUCUUCCCUAUUAGUACCUCCGAUUGGAAAAAUUUCGUGCAGAAUUUCCCCAACUGAGACUUAAUUCUACGCCAAAGUUUACCUGGCUUAUUCUCGCUGCAGCUGUGUGGGUGCCGCCUUCUUGUUUCCUUUGUUCUGGCUAGCUUUCUCGCGUGGCGCCGCCAUUUUAUAGCCACUGUAGUACAAAGACGUUUGCUUUUCGUGCCAUGCCAUGUUAUGGCGCCAGAUGGUUUUAUAUAUUUUUUCCUUGCAAUAUUGUGGAUUGUGUAAUCAAGAAAAAUGAAUUUAUGGAACAGUGCGACAAAUCAGAAAUUGUAAGCUUACAAGCAGUUCAACUUUUGGAAACAAUUGAUAUGUAUUAAAAUGGAUCUUUUUUAUCAGCCACAAUCAAUUCAAAUCCACCAUCAGCCUGAAUAGAAGCCAUCAUACAGGAAAUUGUACCUCCACUUCUCAAUUCUAACUUUUUCCAUUCUGUCCAAAGUUCCGAAUAUGUAUAUCCUUUAGUCAUACGGGAUACGGAUACUGUUAAAACAGAACCAGAAACCUUAACAGAUGUCACUUCAUACCAUGUGUAAUCAGUAUCUGUGUUAUGACGCCUACUCCAAUAUACGUCUCCUUCUUUAA